rnacentral:rRNA from 1 species
UACGGAGGGUGCAAGCGUUAUCCGGAUUUAUUGGGCGUAAAGCGAGCGCAGACGGUUAUUUAAGUCCGAAGUGAAAGCCCACAGCUUAACUGUGGAAGUGCUUUGGAAACUGGAUAACUUGAGUGCAGUAGAGGAGAGUGGAACUCCAUGUGUAGCGGUGAAAUGCGUAGAUAUAUGGAAGAACACCAGUGGCGAAGGCGGCUCUCUGGACUGUAACUGACGUUGAGGCUCGAAAGUGUGGGUAGCAAACAGG